AACGAACGCUGGCGGCGCGCCUAAUACAUGCAAGUCGAGCGAGAAGACGUAGCAAUACGUUUGUAAAGCGGCGAACGGGUGAGGAAUACAUGGGUAACCUACCCUCGAGUGGGGAAUAACUAGCCGAAAGGUUAGCUAAUACCGCGUACGCUCCUUGGACUUCGGUUCAGGAGGAAAGCGAUACCGUGGGUAUCGCGCUCUUGGAUGGGCUCAUGUCCUAUCAGCUUGUUGGUGAGGUAACGGCUCACCAAGGCUUCGACGGGUAGCUGGUCUGAGAGGACAAUCAGCCACACUGGCACUGCGACACGGGCCAGACUCCUACGGGAGGCAGCAGUAAGGAAUAUUGCGC
rnacentral:rRNA from 1 species